rnacentral:pre_miRNA from 1 species
UCAAGCCGCUUUAUUUGCCAGCGAGGAGGCCGAGGAUGUCGAAUCCGGCGACGCCAUCCUCUCCGCAGGUGGAUCCAGACGCCCGAA